rnacentral:sRNA from 1 species
GGAUAUGAGGAUGAUCUGACUGUGACAUCUGUCACGUUAGCGACUGCCAGGGUUGGUUUGGCCGAUGCGGCUGGCUAGGCAGCUGUCCCCUUUUCCUUUCUCACUACUCC